UUGCACUGACAAGAUUCCCCUGUGUCUUUCCCAUGGCAUGAGGGAAUCGCUUAACGGUGCUAGAUCAAAUCCCUUCCUGGAGAAGGGCCAGGCUUUCUUCUGCCCCAUCUGAAAGUUGAGUACAAAA